rnacentral:lncRNA from 1 species
AGGCGGCAGGCAGCGCCAGCAGCAGCAGCCAGCGCCAGGGACGCGGCGCGAGCGGCCGGAACCCGGGCCCGCCGGCGCCCCCCGCGCCCCCCGCGCCCCCCGCGCCCGCGGCGGUGUCGGUGGCGGCGGCGGCCCGGGGCGGCGGCCGGGGCCCGGGCGCAGGCGGCGCGCGCGGAGGCAUAGCGGCGACAGGCUCGCGCGGCGCCCGAGCUGCGAGUGCGCCGGGGGGUGGAGUGCCGCCUUUUAAAGCCGCUCCGCGCCGGGGAAGCGCCGCCGCCGCCGCCACCGCCGCCGCCAACACCGCCGCGGGCGGGAGCCGGGGAGGAGGAGGCGGCCGCGGCGCGUUCCCGCCCCCGGGCCCGCGCUCCUGCGACCGGGCUCCGGGGCCGAGAGCCGUCCGGGAGGCCCGAAACGCCCCCCACCGGGGGAACUUCCCCGCCGACUUCUGGGGCUCUCGGGACGCGGUGCCGCCCCAGAGGCGUCCUCGGCCCGCGAGUUCUGCUGGGAGCGGGGAGGCCCCGGCGUCUCAGGUGAGUCCCCGGUUCCCUAGACCGGCCGGACACCCGAAGGCCGCACUCACCUGGCGGGGGCCUCAGACGCCUGGCGGCCUCGCCCGCCUCCCUAGACGGAGGGCUCGCCCGUGUGCGGGGUCCCAGGGAGAAGAAGCUGCGGGGAAGACAGUGGGUCGCCCGGGACCAAGCCUGGCUGAAGGGACACAUUGAGCGGGGCAAAGGCAUGUGGCGCAUCAGCCGGGCUCACGAGCGUGUACCCGAGAAACCACCGCACGGAGCCCAUGGCGGAGGCCGCGGCCCAUGCUGGGAGGCAGGCCGUGCAGGUGAACCCCCAGGCCGCGCAGGUGAACCCCCAGGCCGCGCAGGUGAACCCCCAGGCCGUGCAGGUGAACCCCCAGGCCGCGCAGGUGAACCCCCAGGCCGUGCAGGUGAACCCCCAGGCCGUCCGCUUAGCCUCGCUGCGAUCUUGGGCAAAUGACUGUGGUGGCUGAGGGCAGGCGCCCCACCUGCAAAAUGCGGGGAACAGUGGCAUCUACCCCGUCGGGCUGAUUUGAGGAUGAGGUCAGCUUUUGCUGUACAAUAAGCUGUCCGUAAACGUUCGUUUUUAUGAGCCCAGGGCCUGCCGUGUGGUAGGUGUUCACUAGACGAUGUACACUCUUAAAAGCACCCACUGAGCUGGGACCAGCAGUAGAAAGUCAGCUGAAUCAUCCUCACCCCUGCUUCCUGGAGCAGCCUGGUAUCCAGUGGAUAAUGAUUUGAAGCACCCUGGAGAUGGAUGGAAAUGUUCACACCAUAAUCAAGGAAUUAUGAAGGGUGUGAGUCACCCCUAAUGGAGGUGGGAGAACAGGAGGCGUGGUGGGAGGCCCCAUC